GAACCAAAAUCACCUAUACUACUUCGUUUUGAAAUGUACCCUUAUUUGCCCUAAAUCUAAAAGUCAGUAGAGAAGCUAAUCUCCAUUCCACGCCGCCUCACAUCACACAUGCCUCUGCCUCCUCUCCUCACUGUCGCUCUCUAGUCUCUCUGUCACUGGUGGAUUUGUAGUUUUCUCCCAAGAGCCUCUUCGCGGCCUCCACACAAUCGUCGGCGUCGGUCGUCGCUCUCCACGCAAUCGUCGGUCGUCGCUCUCCAGUCCAUCGGCUCUCCGCGCCGUCAGCAACUUGGUUGUCCUCAAUCCUCUGUCUUCCUCAGUUCAGUCCUCAGUCCUCAUCAGCAACUGUAAAAGGUAAGUAAUUUUAUUUUUAUAAAGAGUAUGUUCUGAAAGGAGAGUGUUUAUGAUAUGCAAACACUAUCUGUAGACACAAAUGAUAUUUGUUCAUUGUGAAAUGCAUCCAGGCAUGCUAGCUUCUACAUCGAGCCAUUGAAUUGGGGAUUUUUGUAUCUGGUUCUUUGUUUUAUAGUCGUUUUAGAAGGCAUAAGGGGAACUGUUUUGGGUCUUUUAUAAAAAGUCAUUUUGAAAUAAAUGAAUUCACGACAAAAGUGGCUUUAUUUUGCAAGAAUUCUGACUCAUUUAAUGAAGUGUUCUAUUGAAAACCCUUAAAAACAACCUACUUUAACUCACAUUUAUUUGUAAAUAAGGGCAAAAUAGAAAAUGAGGACGUUAAUUUUAGUUGUUAGCUGUUCCAAAAACUAGAAUUCAAAUGAACUCUCAUUUUAAAAUUGAUUCUGGACACAUGAAUUUUCUUA